AAGAGGGAAGCAUAAGCGGUUUAGUAUGCGGCUGGCUUGAAACUAGCACAUGAGGGUUCGACUCCUU
rnacentral:tRNA from 1 species